rnacentral:tRNA from 1 species
UUGGUCGUCGACAAGCGGUAAGUCACAUGGUUUUGAUCCAUGCAUUCGCAGGUUCGAAUCCUGCCGACCAAG